rnacentral:lncRNA from 1 species
ACUGUGAGAAAGGAGACGAUUUGGCUAUUAAAACACACGUUUGUAGCUGCAGAUUAGUGAUGUGAAGAAAUUUAAAAGAUGGAGUCACACUGAAAAUUAUUUUCCUUGAGGGCUAUUUAGCAAGUUGUAGAAACCUUAGAAGAUGUGGAUUUUAGCAAAUGUUAUUAAUAGGCAAUCAAUAUUAGUGUGGAUAAGGCCCUGUGGCUAGGUUUAGUAACAGUAGUCCUUGACUCAAACCCAACAUUGCACCUUAGUAGUACAAGGCCUUAUUGUUCUUGUGAAUGAAUGCUCAUACUCAAGAGAAAGUGUCCUUAGAAAUAACUACUGCAACUUACAUGAAACUCUAGACCUGGCCUUGUUCAUUAUGUAAGUGCUUCACAGUUGAGCAUUCAUGAGUUACAAGAUUCCAGGGGCCAACAAGCUCUGAGCCUGUUCUGGGAUGUGCGAGAGGUUACACUGGCAUUUCCCUGGCUCCGCAGAGAAUUUUAAUCUGGCGUGGUUCAAGGAGCCCAUGUCAUAUACACAGCCUGAUUCUCAGACCUGAUUGAAAAAUCAAACCAAACCAAAAACCUUAAGAAAAUAUACAGAGGUAACCCAGCACAGCCUACAGUGGGACACCAGCAGGGUGAGCUGGGGGGACAACCAGGAUCCCUAUUAAACUCCAAGUGUGUCAGGAAGCACAAUUUGAUGUGUGCACUGUAUGUGACAGUGUAACUGUCCCCUUGAGUUAGAGCAGGGUCCCUCUGGGUGUUUGUGAUUCCUCAUUUCUUCACACUUGCCUAGGCUAUAUUCAUGCAAUUUACUAACUGUCCCAGCAACAGUAAAGAGCUCACUGUGAGCGUCUCCCGUCACAGAUGAGGACACUGACAUAUAAAAAGAUGAAGCAAAUCGUCACCCAAUAGAUCAUGGACGAAACGCCAAGCCUUCACUUCCUCUCAGAGCAGAGAGAGAAGCUACAGCUAAUCUGAACAACAUUCAGAAGGAAGGGUUCUACAAGUUCAUUGUGAACUGGACCAUGAAAUGCCCUCAUUUUCUUGGAAGGCCUAGGUUUACAAAUUGUUAUAAACACGUGAUUGAUUCGACUCCCCCAGUUACACAUAUUUUUAUAACGAUCAAAUCCAGUCCCUUGCUUCUUUCAGUAACCUAAGUAAGAGAAGGUGUAAGGGAAAGUUGAAAAGGGGGGAUUUCCUACACAAUUCAUGGUAUAUGAAACAUGUAAGAAAUUCACAUUUCAGAGCCCAUAAAUAAACCUCAUCAGAGCACGGGAUGCUCACGUGACAAUAACCACAGCUAGUCUCCCAACAGUUUGUCACAGAAUUCCUGAUCUCUACAAAGCUGGUGUAUGCUUUUGGAGCCCUUAAGAAAAGUUUGCCAUUUCCUGCUGUGGGCUCUUGGGGUGUUCUGGGUUCAGUUCUGAUGUGAGACCCACAGGCCAUUAGCUCUCAGCUAGAGGCAUCUGCAUUUGGAGAGCUGAGAGCUGACCUGUGUUUCACCAGUGUGCUGAAUGGCUUGCUAUUUUGCUAUUGGUUUUUGUUUUUGUUUUUGUUUUUGUUUUAAUAAUAUAUACUGUUUUAAUUUUUUUGUGAAACGUUUUCCUGUUUCUUACUAAAAUUGCUAAGCUUCAUCAUUUACAACAUUCCCUUUGCAAAGAUCUGUGGAAUUCUUUUUUCUUUUUAAGUACAUUUAUAUUUAAUUUGGGGGGAGGAGUGUGCAGUGCUUUGCCAUGGGUGGAGGUCAGAAGACAACUUGUGGGAGUUAGUUCAUGCCUUCCUCUGUGUAUCCUGGGACUUGAACUCAUUAGGCUUGGUAGCAAACACCUUUGCCCACCGAACCACUUGACAAAUGCACUUUAUAAAUCAGUCUUUCUAUAAAGAUCCAUAGGAGAAGUUUCUGCCUUAAUGCAGAGGUUCAUAUUUUCCUGAAUUCUGUGACUAUUCAGGUUUUCGAUUUUAGACGAAUGCCCAACUGCUGCCCAGAACUGAAGGUGCGACUUACUUCAUGUUUUGUGUUAGUGAGCUUUAAUCUUCAUUUUUAUGUUUCUGGCUUACUUUCUCUUUUCUUUUCUCUUCUAAUUUAUGAACUUUCAUCGUACAUUUUAAGGGAACUAUGCAGAACACUAAAAGUAUGCAAAAAUGAAUUAUAAAUACAUUUGAAUCUUAAUUCAAAUAAUAAAUGUAUUUGAAUCUUCGAGGCAGAGCUUCGCCAAGGCUUCCAUUGCUGUCCUGUGUCUAAGAGCUCUUUGCUUUCUGUGUUUUAUCUGGGCCUUCUGCAGGUACUGUAUCCAUCUGCAGGAUCUGAGCCCAGUGGGUGAAGUUACUGAGCACUGAGGGUUUUCUGGCUGAGUCUUAGGGGCCUUUCAAGAGGGCUCGUGACACAGGUCAGAGGUUCCUCACUAGGCUCCAGAGAGUUCAAAGUUGCAAACAUAAAAGGGGACAACAGAUUUUAUACCUAUAAUGGAAAUUUAGCCCAUCACAAGCAGAGACAGCAAACUAUAACAGUGUUACUAGUAUUUAUAACCAUGUUGCCAAUAGAAACCAUGGGUGUUUUCACAUCACAUCACAUCACACACACACACACACACACACACACACACACACACACACACACACGGUUGCAGAUACUACAGAGUAUCUGAGCUCUUUAUCACUACAGGGUAAAGUUUGUUGCUAAGCUCUCUAUAGACAGCUAGGUCUUGUCAAUUCAUGAUAGAUAAAUAUAUUUAUUAUUAGGACAUACCUUAAAUGCUUUGACAAUUGUAAUUCAGUUUUUGUUUGUUGCCAUCCUUAGUGUUCUAUGCACUUAGAAACACUUUUUCCUAAGAAGGGGGUCCUAGGCUGACAAAGAUUUAUAUUUCUUUGCUAUGUAUUUCAUUGAGGCAAGGUCUUAUUAUCUUCCAUCCUAGCUUCAAACUAAUCAGACUUUCCUGCCUCGGCGCCCUCCCCUUCCAAAUACUAGAUUACACUACACACAUAUGCCAUCAUUCCCAACUCCCAAAGAGAUCCCUGAUUC